rnacentral:tRNA from 2 species
GACUCCUUAGCUCAGAUGGUAGAGCAACUGACUCUUAAUCAGUGGGUCUGGGGUUCGAUCCCCCAAGGAGUCACCA